GGGUCAGUAGGUUGGUCGUGCCACCGGUACGUACUGGUCUCACUGAUUCCUCCUUCCUGAAGAACCGUAAUGCCAUUAAUUUGGUGUUGCGGGGAAACAGGACUGUUACUUUGAAAAAAUUAGAGUGUUUAAAGCAAGCUAACGCUUGAAUACAUUAGCAUGGAGUAAUGAAAUAGGACGAUCGAUCCUAUUUUGUUGGUUUCUAGGAUUGACGUG
rnacentral:rRNA from 1 species